rnacentral:lncRNA from 1 species
GAGGUUUCAGACAAAGAAGCUGAGCAGUUUGCAGUAGCUACUAGAUAGAGGUUCAUAAUGGAAUAGCAGCUUCAGGUUUUUAAUCUUAAAUCAUUAGAAAUAGUUGUUUUACAACUUGAGAGAGAAAAAGUAGAAAUCUAUGGCAUAAUGAAGGGGGAAAAAAAUGGGUCAUGUUACUGUAGAGAUAGACGCAAAUUCUAUAUUAUGUCAUACGUGAAAGCUUUUUCGGUCCAUAUGGGUAUAAAUUAAUAAGAGAGAAUGCUGUCAGCGAAGAAAGUGUAAGUACUUUGUCUGGAGAGUAAGAGACCGGCCAGUUAGUCCUAAUAAAUCCGAGGGUUUGGGGAGCCUCUUUUGAGAAAGGUGAUGCAUUGCUCAUUAUGAGAGAAUCUCUUGGCAUGAGUACUUUUGCACCAAGCAUCUGCUUUUAAGGUCUCUUCAUAAAUGUUCUUCUUAUGUGCUGAUAUCUUUAUGCUUACACAAACUUGGUGGAAGGCACUAUUGUUACAUCAUUAAAUUACCUCACUGUAUUCUACAACUACCCUACCUAAUAUGCUCCAAUCACUCUUACUGUAUUUUGUUUUCUUCAUAACAUUUCCCUGUCUGAAAUUAUUUUAUUCAUGUGGUAUCAUUUAAGUGCUUAUUAUCUCUCUCACCCUGCUCCCAUCACCACUGGAGUAAAAGCUGUUUUCAAGAUCCAACCCAAAGACUGCUUAAGGAGUGGAACUUAGACUUCUUUUACUUCUUCAAGAGUCACUUCAUGGAUAAAAAGCAUCCUGUUCUUGAGACUUUGACUCAGCAGAGCCAAGAACUUUCCUAUAAGCUAUUGCUUGGUUGUUAAGGAAGCACAACAGAAUACCAGCCUGACGUGUCACAUUCUGC